AUUGAACGCUGGCGGCAUGCUUUACACAUGCGAGUCGAACGGUAACAGGGUGCUUGCACCGCUGACGAGUGGCGAACGGGUGAGUAAUGCGUCGGAACGUGCCGAGUAGUGGGGGAUGACGCAGCGAAAGUUGUGCUAAUACCGCAUACGUACUGAGGUAGAAAGUGGGGGACCUUCGGGCCUCACGCUAUUCGAGCGGCCGACGUCUGAUUAGCUAGUAGGUGAGGUAAAGGCUCACCUAGGCGACGAUCAGUAGCGGGUCUGAGAGGAUGAUCCGCCACACUGGGACUGAGACACGGCCCAGACUCCUACGGGAGGCAGCAGUGGGGAAUUUUGGACAAUGGGCGAAAGCCUGAUCCAGCCAUGCCGCGUGUCUGAAGAAGGCCUUCGGGUUGUAAAGGACUUUUGUCGGGGAGGAAAUCCCCAGCGUUAAUACCGCUGGGGGAUGACAGUACCUGAAGAAUAAGCACCGGCUAACUACGUGCCAGCAGCCGCAGUAAAAC
rnacentral:rRNA from 1 species